rnacentral:rRNA from 1 species
UACAGAGGUCUCGAGCGUUUGUUCGGAUUCAUUGGGCGUAAAGGGUGCGUAGGUGGCGUGGUAAGUCUGGUGUGAAAUCCCGGGGCUCAACCCCGGAACUGCACUGGAUACUGCCAUGCUUGAGUACUGGAGAGGAGAUUGGAAUUUACGGUGUAGCAGUGAAAUGCGUAGAUAUCGUGAAGGAAGACCAGUGGCGAAGGCGAAUCUCUGGACAGUUA